UCUCCGUAGGUGAACCUGCGGAGGGAUCAUUACUGAGUGAGGGCUUCGGUCCGACCUCCAACCCUUUGUGAACCAAACUUGUUGCUUCGGGGGCGACCCUGCCGCUUCGGCGGUGCGGCGCCCCCGGGGUCAAUCAAACACUGCAUUCUCUGCGUCGGAGUAUUAGUAAAUCUAAUCAAAACUUUCAACAACGGAUCUCUUGGUUCUGGCAUCGAUGAAGAACGCAGC
rnacentral:misc_RNA from 1 species